rnacentral:rRNA from 1 species
UACGUAGGGUGCAAGCGUUAAUCGGAAUUACUGGGCGUAAAGCGUGCGCAGGCGGUUGUGUAAGACAGAUGUGAAAUCCCCGGGCUCAACCCUGGGAACUGCAUUUGUGACUGCACAGCUGGAGUGCGGCAGAGGGGGAUGGAAUUCCGCGUGUAGCAGUGAAAUGCGUAGAUAUGCGGAGGAACACCGAUGGCGAAGGCAGCCCCCUGGGUCAAGAUUGACGCUCAUGCACGAAAGCGUGGGAGCAAC